GAUGAACGCUGGCGGCGUGCUUAACACAUGCAAGUCGAACGAAGCAUUUAGGACAGAUUACUUCGGUUUGAAGUUCUUUAUGACUGAGUGGCGGACGGGUGAGUAACGCGUGGGUAACCUGCCUUGUACUGGGGGAUAGCAUCUGGAAACGGCUGGUAAUACCGCAUAAGCGCACAAUGUUGCAUGACAUGGUGUGAAAAACUCCGGUGGUAUAAGAUGGACCCGCGUCUGAUUAGCUAGUUGGUGAGAUAACAGCCCACCAAGGCGACGAUCAGUAGACGACAUGAGAGGGUGACCGGACACACUGGGACUGAGCCACGGCACAGAAUCCUACGGGAGGCAGGAGUGGGGAAUAUUGCAAAAUGGAGGAAAUUCUGAUGCAGCGACGACGCGUGAGUGAAGAAGUAAUUCGUUAUGUAAAGCUCUAUCAGCAGGGAAGAUAGUGACGGUACCUGACUAAGAAGCCCCGGCUAAAUACGUG
rnacentral:rRNA from 1 species